UACGGAAUGUGCAAACGUUAUUCGGAAUCACUGGGCUUAAAGAGUCCGUAGGCGGCAUGUUAGGUGAGGUGUGAAAUCCCCCGGCUCAACCGAGGAAUUGCGCUUCAAACCGGCGUGCUUGAGGAAGAAUAGAGGUAAGCGGAACUGAUGGUGGAGCGGUGAAAUGCGUUGAUAUCAAUCAGGAACACCGGUGGCGAAAGCGGCUACUGGGUCUCUUCUGACGCUGAGGUACGAAGCU
rnacentral:rRNA from 1 species